GCGUCUUCCUCAAUGCCUGAUGGCCUGGCCUCCUCGAUCUCAGGUGGACAUGGCCGCUGGCCUUGAAGACUUGUUUGGCUUGGAGAAUUUGGCGGCCGCCUCGGCGUUUGAGGCUUCUAAGUAGCUUGCCUAGGUUACUAAGCUCUUAGACGUGGUUGCCCUAAGGGGCCAUAGACUUUUGGCAUGUCAGCAUUCUGGAUCCUGCUUGCACUUAAAGACCUGAAUUCAGGUGCUCUCAAGUGACCACCGAUAAUAAAUGUUUCUUUCCGGAAGACAAUCACGUCGACAAUGCAUUGGGGUAACUAGGUAAUCUAUAUAUACUGUCGAGGACUUUGCAGGCGAACAGUUCCUACUUUCCAGCUCUCACUAUGGUCCCUGGUCCUUUCACAAAUUGGUAAAUGAAAACCAGGUCUAUGGGAUCAGAAGGUCAAAAUUUUAAAAAUAAAUAAUAAUAGGGGCCAGCAGACGGUGUACCAGUUACG